AGACAACUAGUAUAAAGAAAACACUUGAUUUCGGCUCAAAAGUUUAUGGUUUAAGUCCAUAGUUGUCUA
rnacentral:tRNA from 1 species